UCAUUAUUUGCGGGUUUUUUCCCUUUUUAUGGUCUGGCUCGGACCACUGUACUCUCUCUCUGUGUACACACAAACGCUUGCGUGCGCACACGCACGCUCAUAUACAUACAUAGGCAGGCUGUUUGCAUCACUAAGGAUCUCGGUAGAUUGAAGAGGGUUUAUACUGAUGACAUCAUAAAGACGGCCACGCUUCCUCUGACUGCUUUAUUAAAUAUUCAAUUAUAUAUUGGCGUUGAACUGAAUGUCUCGCAACACUGCUGUCGGCUUCAUUAAAAGCACUGUAAAGAGACAAAUGAACAAUCGGCAUUUGAGCAUGAAGGAGGAUGACCUCUAUUCAGGCUACAAUGACUAUAAUCCACUUUUUGACUGCAAGGAGUUGGAGAAUGAUGUCAGCUUCCAAGAAGCAAUCAAGAGCAGUCAUGGAAAAAGAGCACAUUUGCAACCAAGUAGUGGACAUUUUGCUGACUCGACCACAGGGGGUCGACCUUUAACUUCUUCUUCUGGAUCUCAUACUCCCAUGCCUUCAUCAGUGAGUCGACCAAUAACAGCAGCUGCGCAGCAGAGUGGAGCAGCUCGUCCCAUAUCUGCAAUUAGUGCUGCAGGUUAUUCCUCUUCUCCCACACGAUGCCCAACCUUUGAUCCUCUGGGCCAGUCCAGAGGUCCCGCACCCCCACUGGAAGAAAAGAAAGACGACACGCCCGAAGAGAAGAUCAAACUCUUGGAGAAGAAAGUGAACGACUUGAUCACAGAGAGCUGCAUGGCGCAAAGCAUGGGCAACUCACAACUGGCUCUGGAGAAGGCCAGAGAGGCUGAGAGGAUGGAGCGAGCGCUAGAGAGGCAGAGGGAGCAGUCCGGAAACGCUGAACAAAUCAACGUAGAUCUCACCUACGCUGUUUUGCUCAACCUGGCUAACCAGUAUGAAAACCAUGAGAUGUACCCUGAGGCUCUGAGCAGCUACCAACUUAUCAUCAAGAACAAGAUGUUCACCAACGCAGGACGUCUGAAGGUGAACAUGGCCAACAUCUGGGUGAAGCAAAAGAACUACCCCAAGGCCAUCAAGUUGUACCGCAUGGCGCUGGACCACAUCUCGGACGACUACAAGGAGAUGAGGAUCAAGAUCAUGCAGAACAUCGGCACGGUCUUCGUGCUGCUGGGCCAGUACUCGGACGCCGCCGCGUCCUUCGAGCACAUCAUGAGCAAGAGCGCCAACGUCAGGACCGGCUACAACCUGGUCCUCUGCUACUAUGCCACCCGGGACGCCGACGGCAUGAAGAACGCCUUCCACAAGCUCCUCGCCGUGCCCCUCGACGUGCAGCACGAAGACAAGUACAUCGCCGGCAACGAUGACAUCAAAUCCAACAUGUUGAUGGAGGUCAUCAAGAAUGACAAGCUUCACCAAAUGGAGAGAGACUUGAAAGCGCGUGCUGAGAAGUACGUCAUGACCUCCGCCAAGCUCAUCGCUCCAGCCAUAGAGGCUUCUUUCGCCGCCGGAUUUGACUGGUGUGUGGCCUUGGUGAAGAACUCUCCGUAUGCGGAGCUGGCCAACGACCUGCAAUUAAAAAAGGCCAUGACCUUCUUCAGACAGAUGCACUUCGACCAGGCCAUGAAAAUCCUGAAGGAGGUUGCCAAGCAGGACAGCAGAGUUAAAAGCGCCGCGGCCAACAAUCUUGCCAGCCUCUUCAUCCUGGAGAAAGACUACGAGCAGGCGGAGCGCUACGCUGACCUGGCCAUGAACGCAGACCGCUACAACCCGGGAGCCUUUGUGUGUAAGGGCAACGCAGAGUUUGUCAAGCAUGACUACGUCAAGGCGGCUGAGUUCUUCAAGGAGGCACUGAGGAACGACUCCUCCUGCACCGAAGCCCUCAGGAACCUGGGUCUGACGUACAAGAAGCUGAAUCGUCUGGAGGACGCGCUGGACUGCUUCCUGAAGCUCCACACCAUCCUCAGGGACAGCGCCGAGGUCAUGUAUCAGCUGGCCGACAUCUACGAGCUCCUGGAGGACCCUCAUCAGGCGGUGGAGUGGCUAAUGCAGGUCAUCAGCGUGGUCCCCAACGACCCCAAGGCUCUGGCCAAGCUGGCAGAUCUGCACGACUUGGAGGGGGACAAGUCGCAGGCUUUGCAUUACUACUGCGAGAUAGGGCUUAUUCCCAACACAGUCUACAUAAUCACGAUCAUGGCGAUGAUGAUGAUGUCACUUCCUGGGCAGUCCUUCAGGCUGUUCCCCUGCAACAUGGAGGUGAUCGAGUGGUUGGCUGCCUACUACGUGCAGACGCAGCUCUACGAGAAGGCCAUUCACUACUUUGACAGAGCCAUACUCGUGCAACCGAGUGAGGUGAGGUGGCAGCUGAUGGUGGCCAGCUGUUACAGGAGAAGCGGUCAGAAAGAAACAGUCAGAAAGCUCUGGAAACCUACAAAGAAAUUCACCGCAAGUUUCCCGAAGAUGCGCAAUGUAAUUCAUCUUGUUUCAGCUUUAAAACGGCGUCAUGGAGAACAACAACCGAAUGUUUAUUUGCGUGUGUCGAGGUCUUCGCUUCCUGGUGCGGCUGUGUCAGGACAUGGGCCUCAAGGAAGUCCACGACUACGCCAGCAAACUCAAGAAGCUGGAAAAGAUGAAGGACCUCCGGGAACAGAGAGCAAAAGCAGAGCAGGACGGAAGUACAAGAAGCCGAAGAAUAGACAGCGCGGCCUCUCCUACGGAGAGCACGCCGAGUGUUCCCAAAGGCGAGCGUGCGGUUGUCCCUGUGAUGUCACUUCCUGCCUCCAGCGAGGCUUACGAGAGCAGCAGCAGCCCCAAAGAACUGGACGCGUCCUACGUGGACCCGCUGGGCCCCCUCGCCGAUCCGCCCCGAACCGGCGCCAAGAAGCAGGUGGACGACGACGUCUUCGCCGGAGAGGACCUCGGAGACGAGCUGCUGCCUGAGUAGAAAAUGCCAACACCGUGUUGUUUGCAGAUGACACCACUGUCAUCGGCCUCAUCAAGGACUGUGACGAGUCUGCAUAUCGACAGGAAGUGGAGCGGCUGGAGCUGCGAUGCGGCUGACACAACCUGGAGCUGAACACGUUCAAGACUGUAGAGAUGAUCGUGGACUUCAGGAGGCACCCUUUGCCACAGCUGCCCCUCACGCUGUCCAGCUGCCUUGUGUCUCUCAGGACCUGAAGUGGGCGAUCAACAUCAACUCUGUCCUGAAAAAAGCCCAGCAGAGUAUGUACUUCCUGCGGCUUCUGAGAAAGCACGGCCUGCCACAGGAGCUGCUGAGGCAGUUCUACACAGCGGUCAUCGAAUCAGUCCUGUGUUCUUCCAUCAGUCUGGUUUGGUGCUGCUACAAAAAAGGACAAACUUCGACUGCAACGCACAAUCAAAACUGCUGGUACCCCCCUACCCACCCUUGAGGACUUGCACGCUGCCAGAACUAAGACAAGAGCCUGCAAAAUCCUCUCGAAACCGCCACAUCCCGGUCACCAGCUCCUUCCCUCAGCAACCUGGAUGUUCUGGAUGGCUCUGCCUCCUUCACCCCCUUUCGGCCAAUCAACAGGAGAGCAGCGGCGACGGGUAGUUGACGAAACAUCGGAAAUCGUUGGACAAAUUGCGCUCGUGCUGAGGCAGGAAGUGACGACACACUUGGACGUCCAGAAGAUCCUUGGCUACAUUCUCCAUGACGACGCCUGAACGCAACACAAGAGACUAAUGAUGCUAAGCUAAAUGCUAACACAACACAACAUGUCUUGAAAUAAACAUGUUCUCAUCAUUGAAGCACAAACAGGCACUGUGCAACUUUCAAUAGGAACAUUAGCACUGAUGCUAGUGCUAACACAGAGAGACGUCCUUGCUGGUCCACCGACAUUAUACACUACAAAAGGAUGUGAUCCAGGGUUGCUAUUGCAACAACAAAGCUGCCAUUCUCCUUAUAACAAGCCAGUGUUACAUCAACGUGACUUUGGAGCUGCUAUGUUAGGGUAAUGUUCUUUAAUCAGUUCAAAUGAGUGGAACUGUCAUCCCUCUGACCUGUGCACAGCAGCACUUUUCCUUUGCUGAGGUACUUGACGGUCUGGGCCACUUUGGUGAGACACUCCUCGGAGAGGUAGGGCGGGUCGGCCAGGACCAUGUCAAAGCUGCCGGGCGCCACGCCGCGCUCCGCCAGCGCCAGCGGCUCGUUGUAGUCGUAGAAGACGAAAUCGUCGCCGUAGAUGGCGAAGCGGCGGUCGUACUCCAAGAGCGCCACCGACACGGAACCUCCGCCGACAAGGCCGGACAGCUGCUUGAGCUUCUGGUAAACGCUGGGUGCGCUCACGCAUGCGAUCCUGCGAGCACAAUUCACACAAUUCACACGUAAACCUCAUUCGAAGUCUCACGUAGGGCUGGGCGAUUCGGCAAAAAUACCACAAUUUAGUGUUUCAUGUCUAUUAUGAAGAUUUUUUAAAUAUUAAAAAAAAACAAUUUUUAACAGCCCACUCAAGCAUCUGGUUGAGUACAUUUUGAGUCACUAUCUCAGUGUAAAGAGUGCCUAACUUAAGUUGGUUGCGCCAUGGCUGAGAGAAGAUAGACUACAAAAAUCCACUAGAGGUCUCGGUCACUCAUUAGUAUUCUGCUGCUUCGUCCGACCAGAAACACAGAAAUGAUUCCAGACUUGGACGGUUUAUGGUAAAACUUUGAAGGGCAGGAAUUGUUGAAGUGUUACAGACCUUAUUGAACAUACUUACCGUAAUUUCUCGUGUAUUGAUUUCCACAAAAAAUUGUCAAAAGUCAAUAGUGCGCAUUAUACAUAGGUAUAGAGGGAAAUGAAAACGCUCACAUUUUAUAAAUGUUUGCCGCUAUCUAGCGGUUAUGAAAAAGCUGUACACUUUCAUUUCAAUGUUACCGCCACCUAGAGGUUAUGAAAAAAGUGUAGCCUACACAUUCAUUCCAAUAUGACAGGGGUACGUAUGACUGCAUAUACUGUAUGUACGGUUGUGCUCUUUAAGUUUACAUACCCUGGCAGAAUUUGUGAAAUGUUUUUUUUUUUUUUUUUUUUUUUUUUUUUAAAUAUGACUGAACAACAACCAUCAUUCAUUUCGUUAUGGUUAUGUUUUGUUUAAUGGUAAUGCUUUUCUGAAAUGCUUGACAGUUUAAUUUGAAUCCCAAUAAAAUAAAAUGUGUUUCGCCCAGCCCUUCAUGUUUUCUUUAAAGAAUUGUACACAUCUUACAAAUUCUGCCUGGGUAAUCAAACAUAUGAGCACAACUGUGUGUUUUCUCAUUUACUAGAUAAAAG